rnacentral:sRNA from 1 species
GCCGGGCAUAGUGGUGCACACCUGUAAUCCUAGCAGCUCGGGGGCUGAGGCAGGAGGAUCUCGAGUUCAAAGUCAGCCUCAGCAACAGUGAGGCACCAAGCAAUUCAGUGAGACCCUAUCUCUA